rnacentral:rRNA from 1 species
UACGAAGGGGGCUAGCGUUGUUCGGAAUUACUGGGCGUAAAGCGCACGUAGGCGGACUAUUAAGUCAGGGGUGAAAUCCCGGGGCUCAACCCCGGAACUGCCUUUGAUACUGGUAGUCUCGAGUCCGGAAGAGGUGAGUGGAAUUCCGAGUGUAGAGGUGAAAUUCGUAGAUAUUCGGAGGAACACCAGUGGCGAAGGCGACUACCUGGCCUGUUCUUGACGCUGAGGCGCGAAAGCUAGGGGAGCAAACGGG